GCGGAGUGAUACUCCCGUUCCUUCUUGGACAGAUUGCCUCCACGUUCUUUGUGGAUCUCAAGGUGAUCAAGUCACUGGUGAAUAGAGCGAAGGUUGAGGAGACCUGAGGAAUUUCCAUGUGGCUUUGCCAGGAGUUGUAGCGAUGCUGUGUGUGUGUGCGGAUUUCCCCUCAUGGCAACAUGAGCCUCACAGGCCAAAAGCCCUGUCCGAAAGGACCCACACAGUGGAGCAACCCCAGCUCCCUCCUACAAAGCUUUGUGAGAAUGAACUCAAGUUUAUUCUACUUUAUUCUCUAUUUACAUCAGGCCCCAAAGAUGUCCUGAAGGUACCUUGUGUAUCUGGGCACGAGCACCAUCAGCUACCCGGACUUGUAUUUCGGUACAGACACAUGUGGUGACCCAGCCCCUCUGCUUCGGCAGGGGGGCUUUCGCUCGCUCAGCACGAGAUCUGAUCAGGAGCCCCUCCCAGUGUGCUUUACACCUGGCGAGGGGUUAAAAAUUGCCCAAGGCCUGGCAAAACAACCUAGGGGACUAGGUUUUCCUUUUAUUAAUAAUAUCUG
rnacentral:other from 1 species